GACUUCGUGGUGUAGUGGUCUGCAUGCCUCGACGUGUAAACGAGAGGUCCGUGGUUCGAUUCCCGGCGAAGGCG
rnacentral:tRNA from 1 species